rnacentral:misc_RNA from 1 species
AACGCUCAACGAUGGAUGUCUCGGCUUGGUGUUCGAUGAAGGACGCAGCGAAGUGCGACAAGUGUCAUGACUUGCAGAUUCCCGAGAGCUGACAAAUUUCUGAAUGCAAAUGGCGGCCGCUUCAAAACGGCCAUGUAUUGCAGAGUGUAGUUGCUUGAAGCGCAAUUCAUCUCUCUCUCUCCAUACCAUUAUGGAGGUGAUAAAGAGGAUCUGCGGUUGCGCGUUUUGUUUCAAACCUCCCUCACGGGCAGGACACUUCUUGCGCGGCCGCGAAAACAAGGGCCUCCUCUCUUCCCUUCAUUGGGAUGAGAGGAAAGGACCACCUCGGCGUCCUUAAUUGUACAAUGAAGGUGGUCUGUUUCGUUGCUCUUCAAUUUCCAACAAGCCACCUCUGCGAUGCAGGAGUACCCGCUGAACUUAAGCAUAUCAUUAAGCGGAGGACAAGAAAACAACUGUGAUUCCCCCAGUAACGGCGAGUGAACAGGGAAGAGCCUAAGCUUGAAUCCUCGGUGGAAGGACCCUGAAUCCGAGGAAUUGUAGUGCAAGGGUGUCAGGAGAGGGUUCGCCAGCCCGUCGAAGCGCUCUGGAAAGGGCUAUCCAUGGAGGGCUAUUGUCCCGUACCGAUGUUUGGCGCGGCGGAUCCGCUACCUUCUGGUUCC